rnacentral:rRNA from 1 species
UACAUGUGGGGCAAGCGUUGUUCGGAAUUACUGGGCAUAAAGGGCGCGUAGGCGGACAGUUAAGUUGGGGGUGAAAGCCCGGGGCUCAACCUCGGAAUUGCCUUCAAUACUGGCUGUCUUGAGUACGGGAGAGGUGUGUGGAACUCCGAGUGUAGAGGUGAAAUUCGUAGAUAUUCGGAAGAACACCAGUGGCGAAGGCGACACACUGGCCCGUUACUGACGCUGAGGCGCGAAAGCGUGGGGAGCAAACAGG